GGUCGGUUACCUCAGCUGGUUAGAGCGUGGUGCUAAUAACGCCAAGGUCGUAGGUUCAAUCCCCAUACUGACCA